UGGGGAAUAUUGCACAAUGGGGGAAACCCUGAUGCAGCGACGCCGCGUGAACGAAGAAGGUAUUCGUAUCGUAAAGUUCUGUCCUAUGGGAAGAUAAUGACAGUACCAUAGAAGAAAGCUCCGGCUAAAUACGUUCCAGCAGCCGCGGUAAUACGCAUGGAGCGAGCGCUGUCCGGAAUUAUUGGGCGUAAAGGGUACGCAGUCGGUUUAAUAAGUCGAAGGUUAAAGAUCGGAGCUCAACCCCGAAAAGCACUGGAAACUGAUGAGCUUGAGUAGGGGAGAGGAAAGUGGAAUUCCUAGUGUAGUGGUGAAAUACGUAGAUAUGAGGAGGAAUACCAGUGGCGAAGGCGACUUUCUGGACACAAACUGACGCUGAGGUACGAAAGCGUGGGGAGCAAACGGG
rnacentral:rRNA from 1 species